rnacentral:other from 1 species
UUAUCCCUGCAGUGUUCGUUAGGGUUCGAUAUCUUUGAACCAAUAUUUGUGACUCUGGCUGCCAGAGUUCGGAGUGGUGAGCUAUUCCAUAGUGAAAAGGCCUAAAGCUCCGGUUAGGCGGCCCCUUGAACCUUAGGUUCAAGACUAGAAACCGACGGCACUUGCGGGGAUUCU